rnacentral:rRNA from 1 species
AGAAGUCGUAACAAGGUUUCCGUAGGUGAACUUGCGGACAAAACCAUAAUGACUCUCGGGCAACGGAUAUACUCGGCUCUCGCAUCGAUGAAGAACGUAGCGAAAUGCGAUACUUAGUGUGAAUUGCAGAAUCCCGCGAAUCAUCGAGUCUUUGAACGCAAGUUGCGCCCCAAGCCUUCUGGCCGAGGGCACGUCUGCCUAGGUGUCACGCAUCGUUGCCCCCAACCCCAUCGCCCUGCAAAGAGGCGGUGGGGGCAUGCGGGGCGGACAUUGGCCUCCCGUGGGCUGAUGCCUGCGGCUGGCCUAAAAACGAGUCCUCGGCGACGAUCGCCACGACAAUCGGUGGUUGACAAACCUUCGUGACCCGUCGUGCGCGCAUCGCCGCUCAACGCGUGCUCUUUUGACCCUGUCGCGUCGCGCUCGCGACGCUUCCAACGCGACCCCAGGUCAGGCGGGACUACCCGCUGAG